GACGAACGCUGGCGGCGUGCUUAACACAUGCAAGUCGAACGGAAAGGCCCUGCUUUUGUGGGGUGCUCGAGUGGCGAACGGGUGAGUAACACGUGAGUAACCUGCCCUUGACUUUGGGAUAACUUCAGGAAACUUGGGCUAAUACCGGAUAGGAGCUCCUGCUGCAUGGUGGGGGUUGGAAAGUUUCGGCGGUUGGGGAUGGACUCGCGGCUUAUCAGCUUGUUGGUGGGGUAGUGGCUUACCAAGGCUUUGACGGGUAGCCGGCCUGUGUGGGUGACCGGCCACAUUGGGACUGAGAUACGGCCCAGACUCCUACGGGAGGCAGCAGUGGGGAAUAUUGCACAAUGGGCGGAAGCCUGAUGCAGCAACGCCGCGUGCGGGAUGACGGCCUUCGGGUUGUAAACCGCUUUCGCCUGUGACGAAGCGUGAGUGACGGUAAUGGGUAAAGAAGCACCGGCUAACUACGUG
rnacentral:rRNA from 1 species